CAUCAGUCGGAAGAAGGCAUGCCAAGAGACACCUUCCAAAUUGCAAGCUAGCCAGCAACAAACUCAGUGCAAUAGUGACGAAUGGAAAGCCAUUUGCAUGUUGAUGUUUUUUUUUUGAUAAAGACAAGAUAAUCAGAUGAAUAAAAUAUGUCUAAAUAUGUCUCUGUCAGCAAGGACUGCUCAUCAUGAUGCGAAGUCAUGUGAAGCCUCAACGCCUGCAUGAAGCUUAACCUCCACCAUGUAUCAACCGGACUACAAAGCCAUCAGCAAAACCAGGAGUUACAUUAAUGGGAGUCGCAUGUUAACAUCAGCGUGUCAAUCAAACAUGGCAGCUACUCACGCUCUGUGGCGAGAUGAAAUGUUCCUCCUCCAUCAUCAUGUGAACAGCAAAGAAGACAACUAAAAAAGCCCCCUGGGAUGCUGUCUGCCAGCGAUGUGGCUUUCAACCUCCAGAGAGAACAUCUUUUGAAAGAGCCAGGAGACCAUAAUGAAGUCACAGAGUGGCACAAUUAUUUCCCAAAGAAGGAGCAUUAAUGUACUUCACAAUUCCCCGCGGAGAAGCGUGAUGACAAUUGGUUUGUACAGCUUUGAUCGCUGCUUUAAAUACUGGCCAGGAUCAACUGCAGGGUGAGGCCCCUUUGCCAUUGGUAAGUAGCAGACCCAGAUGUGGCUAUCAAGCUUUAAAAUAGAACACUGCACACACACACACACACACACACACACACACACACACACACUCCAAUGCAUUCUGCAGGCUAACCUCUACCGAUUCCUUGAACCAAACUGUCCACAAUGCCUAUGUAUGCUUAUCCAACCACAGACGUUACAUUAGUCUACACUGUCUAACAUUAUAGUCAGCACCGGGCAUCACAAGACAUACAGAUGACCACCAUGUAGUCCACAGGACAUCUGGACUUUCCCCAUCAUUCCAAUACACAAUCAGUGGACAUGCUCUCCCCAGCGGGGACUAUGGUGAAGUACACUUUUGCCAAACCCUCAAACUUGGCAACCUCCAAAUAAGUUCGGCAAAAUAACAACAAAAAACAUUUAGUACAUGUGCCAAUAUAGCAUUUCUUUUCUGUGUAUUUGACAAGAGGCAGAACACAAAUGCCCCCUACCUAGAUA